rnacentral:rRNA from 1 species
CAGGCCUAACACAUGCAAGUCGAACGGUAACAGAGAGUAGCUUGCUACUUUGCUGACGAGUGGCGGACGGGUGAGUAAUGUCUGGGGAUCUGCCUGAUGGAGGGGGAUAACUACUGGAAACGGUAGCUAAUACCGCAUAAUGUCGCAAGACCAAAGCGGGGGACUUUCGGGCCUCGCACCAUCAGAUGAACCCAGAUGGGAUUAGCUAGUAGGUAGGGUAAUGGCUUACCUAGGCGACGAUCCCUAGCUGGUCUGAGAGGAUGACCAGCCACACUGGAACUGAGACACGGUCCAGACUCCUACGGGAGGCAGCAGUGGGGAAUAUUGCACAAUGGGCGCAAGCCUGAUGCAGCCAUGCCGCGUGUAUGAAGAAGGCCUUCGGGUUGUAAAGUACUUUCAGUCAGGAGGAAGGGUGUGAAAUUAAUACUUUCAUGCAUUGACGUUACUGACAGAAGAAGCACCGGCUAACUCCGUGCCAGCAGCCGCG